UCUUCUUCUUCUUCUGCAGGAGAAGAGGAAGAUGCCGUCGGCGCCUAAUGGCUCCGCCCACUGUGACAUCAAGGAGGCGGAGCAUCAGGCGGGACCGGAGCUGCAGAGGACGGGGAGGAUUCUUCGGCGGCUUGGUGAACGACGUUCGGAGGAAGGUUGCCCUUCCUGUGGAGCGACGUCAGAGACGCCGUCAGCCUGCAGUGUCUGGCGUCCGUGCUCUUCCUGUACUGCGCCUGCAUGUCGCCCGUCAUCGCCUUCGGAGGGCUGCUGGGAGAAGCCACCAAAGGAAACAUCGUGAGCAGACGAAUAAUCCCACAAUAUUUCCAUAAUCCAUGAGUCGCUAAAGUCAUUAUUCAUGAAGUCUUUAAAUGUUGUUUUAGGGUUAAAUAUGGAGAUUUGCUGCUUUUCUAUUUUCUAUUAAAGUAAUAUCUUUAAUCUUCA